rnacentral:rRNA from 1 species
CCCUUAGAUGUUCUGGGCCGCACGCGCGCUACACUGAUGCAUUCAACGAGUCUACAACCUGGUCUGAUAGGGCUGGGUAAUCUUUUGAAUGUGCAUCGUGAUUGGGAUAGAUGAUUGCAAUUCUUCAUCUUCAACGAGGAAUGCCUAGUAAACGCAAGUCAUCAGCUUGCAUUGAUUACGUCCCUGCCCUUUGUACACACCGCCCGUCGCUACUACCGAUUGAAUGGUUCAGUGAGAUAAUCGGACAGAAAACUUGGCAACUGGCAACAGUUGACGUGCAUUUUUGGAAGACGAUCAAACUUGGUCAUUUAGAGGAAGUAAAAGUCGUAACA